rnacentral:rRNA from 1 species
UACGGAGGGAGCUAGCGUUGUUCGGAAUUACUGGGCGUAAAGCGCACGUAGGCGGCUUUGUAAGUUAGAGGUGAAAGCCCGGGGCUCAACUCCGGAACUGCCUUUAAGACUGCAUCGCUUGAUUCCAGGAGAGGUGAGUGGAAUUCCGAGUGUAGAGGUGAAAUUCGUAGAUAUUCGGAAGAACACCAGUGGCGAAGGCGACUGACUGGACAUGUAUUGACGCUGAGGUGCGAAAGCGUGGGGAGCAAACAGG